rnacentral:rRNA from 1 species
UACGUAGGGUGCAAGCGUUAAUCGGAAUUACUGGGCGUAAAGCGCGCGCAGGCGGCCUGGAAAGUCUAUGGGUGAAAUGCCGGGGCUCAACCCCGUGCAUGCCCAGGAUACUGCCAGGCUGGAGACACGUAGAGGCAGGCGGAAUUUCGGGUGUAGCGGUGGAAUGCGUAGAUAUCCGAAAGAACACCAGUGGCGAAGGCGGCCUGCUGGGCGUGAUCUGACGCUGAGGCGCGAAAGCGUGGGGAGCAAACAGG